rnacentral:rRNA from 1 species
UACGUAGGUGGCAAGCGUUGCUCGGAAUCACUGGGCGUAAAGCGCACGUAGGCGGAUCGUUAAGUCAGGGGUGAAAUCCUGGAGCUCAACUCCAGAACUGCCUUUGAUACUGGCGACCUUGAGUUCGGGAGAGGUGAGUGGAACUGCGAGUGUAGAGGUGAAAUUCGUAGAUAUUCGCAAGAACACCAGUGGCGAAGGCGGCUCACUGGCCCGAUACUGACGCUGAGGCACGAAAGCGUGGGGAGCAAACAGG